ensembl:rRNA 5S_rRNA 5S ribosomal RNA
GCUUACGGCCAUACCACCCUGAGAAUGCCUGAUCUCAUCUGAUCUCGGAAGCUAAGCAGGGUCGGGCCUGGUUAGUACUUGGAUGGGAUUCUGCCUGGGAAUACCAGGUGCUGUAAGCU